rnacentral:rRNA from 1 species
GCGAACGCUGGCGGCAGGCCUAACACAUGCAAGUCGAACGCACCUUCGGGUGAGUGGCGGACGGGUGAGUAACACGUGGGAACGUACCUUUUGGUUCGGAAUAACGCAGGGAAACUUGUGCUAAUACCGAAUGUGCCCUUCGGGGGAAAGAUUUAUCGCCAUUAGAGCGGCCCGCGUUAGAUUAGCUAGUUGGUGAGGUAAAGGCUCACCAAGGCUACGAUCUAUAGCUGGUCUGAGAGGAUGAUCAGCCACAUUGGGACUGAGACACGGCCCAAACUCCUACGGGAGGCAGCAGUGGGGAAUCUUGCGCAAUGGGCGAAAGCCUGACGCAGCCAUGCCGCGUGAAUGAUGAAGGUCUUAGGAUUGUAAAAUUCUUUCAGUAGGGACGAUAAUGACGGUACCUACAGAAGAAGCCCCGGCUAACUUCGU